CGCGCCCCCCUCCAUUGGCUACGGCCGGGGACCCUUUCCAGCAGCUGACUCCCCAUUGGCUGAAGCCGGAGACCGCGAGACCCUCCGUGUUACUCUAGUAAACGGGCACUGUCCCUUUAUCAAGGAGACUCAAACUUCUCUUCAACUGAAGGACUCUGGAUAUAUGCUGACUUGGGUCUGGAAACUGGGAGAGGGACCAUGAAUCUCCAUUGUGGCAACUCAAGUUGGGCUUUUGGCUACCAGGGCUGGGAUUGAAACUAUGAGCACACUACCAAUGAGCCACAUCCCCAGAGUCAUUUUUAUUUUUUGUUUUGAUACAAAGUCUUGAGAUACAAAACUUGAGAUCCUCCUGCCUCAGCCUCCUGAGUAGCUGGGAUCACGUACAUAUAUCACCACUUGUAUCUCACUUUUUUCAUUUUUUAAUUUUUGUGAAGAAUUUCUCCUGUGGUUAAAUAUUCUAUUUCAAUUUCCUAAAUUUUUUGACUGUUGCCUUCCUAUGAAUUAGGAAUAUUAUGAUGAGUGCUUAGUCUGGUAAAGUCAAUGUGUAUUAUAUCCUUCUAGCAUCUCUAUAAUGUUUGUUGUGUAAUAAACACAAGGACUUUCCAUUGAAUUUAAUUACAAAAUAACCUACUCUUUGAGUGCUACUUUUCUUUAUUGACAUGAUGGGUAUGAAUUGGUGUUUGGGGGAAAAGGUUGCAGUAUGAUGCCAUGCAUGGCGUUUGAAACACUGUCAUGUUAAAUUGUGCUACUGUGAUUUUCAGUGCCCCUUGGAUCAGUAUGAAGUGGUGAGAACACCAGCACAUACAGUCUCUUCAGCAACUGUGGAAGUCAUUGUUGUAGCUCAAGAACAGCAAUAGACAAUUGUGGCUGUCUCUGAUAAAAUUUUA